GACAUUACUAAGUUCUAAUGAACAAGGAACCAGGCAUUACCAUAAGCAUUUCCUAUCUCAUAUAUGCUUGAGAUAGAACAAACCAUCACCAAGGACAAUGCAAGAAGAAACCAGUUCAUCACCGGGAUAUAUAUCUGACCCAUGAACUUCCGAGAUGUAUGAAUAAUUUUAAGGCGAGGGAAGCAGCCGAGGGCUGUGGAUUGUUUAAUGCAAGAGAAAGUUGCGGUGGUCAUCGCUCUACUGGCUAUCAAUGCAGCUACAUUAGCAAUCAAGAAGAUGGGCCAGAAUACUCCACUUGGCACAGAAGAGAAGAAAGCCUGUGUUGUGUCGGCAUGGUUCUCCAUAAGAUACGCAGCUUGACCAAGGUAACCCAACAGAAGGCAUGGCAGCACAAGGAACACAAAGGUAAGCUGGACUGAUCUCACAGAAAAAUAACAAAGAUCUGCAAACAUUGCCUCGGAACCUGUUGCACAAAGAAUACAGCCUCCAAGUGAGUACCACACCUUUGUUGAAUUGCGCUUAAAGUAAUAGUAUAUAUGAACUGGAUUAAAUGCUCUCCAAACACUAGAAUCAUACUUAAUGAGGUUGUAGACGCCAAUGCCACCCAGGGAACAGAACCAUAUAAACAAAGCAGGACCUACGAAAUGUCCCAUUUUACUUGUCCCAUACUUCUGUACACUGAACAGAAUUACGAGAAACGCCACUGAUAUCAUCACAACUUGAUCUUG
rnacentral:misc_RNA from 1 species